CCGCCUCGGCCUCCCAAAGUGCUGGGAUUACAGGUGUGAGCCACUGCGCCCGGCUUAAACAAACUUUUUAAUGGAGAAAAUGUCAUCCAAUAAAUCAACCAAGUGUGACCCAUCCUCGUGUGAGCCAUCCUAGAACAUCACCCACUGUGGACCAGGUUGCCAGUGUUAUAACCAUGUGCUCCCCAAGUGAAUCAGUAAGAGAAGCUAUGUGGGGAAGAGCAAUGUAUGAUCUUACUGUGCUAGGUUUGAAGGCAUCAGGCACAGCCCUUCUAAAGUGUGUGUAUUUCUCAGACCUAGCUCUUCUCAUUCUGAUCUUUUUGAACCAUUUCUUGUUUUGUCCCCAGACCUGCUAGAGGCAAAGCAUCUUCUGGGUCAGCUCAUUAAGAUAGGCAAGGACAAGAAGAGUCUUGAGUGGGACCUAGACAGUGGCACCUGUUGACUGAAAAGGCAGUACACCAAAAGAUGGAGACACCCUGCAGGGUGUUGAUGAUGGUGAAGAGAUAGGCAAGAGCAUAGCAACUGGGCCCACCUGCAGAAUGCCCAAACACCAGGUGCAGCCCAAGAUGAACAGCUGAUCUGUCACCUUGAAUGUCAGCAUCCUGGAUUGGAUGAGAAAAGAGGCCCAUAAUAUACCCAUAAUAACAAAGGCUAUUUCAUCUCCAUCCCAUGGAUAUCUCUGCCCUCUCCUGUUGGUCAUUUCUCACACUUGAGUUUUGAUCAACCUAGAUCUUUACUGUUGAUAAUUCCCCACAAAAGAAAUGCCAUUUGGAUCCAGGAAAGCAUUUUAACUUGGACCAAGGAGAGUAGUGACACUUCAUAAUAUGGGUUGCAAAAGAAGUGUGAUGAUCAACACAAAAAAACAGUUGCAUUUCUAUGCACUAACAAUGAACAACCCAAAAAGGAAAUUGAGAAAACAAAUCCAUUUACAACAGCAUUAAAAACAAUAAAAUACUUUGGAAUUAACUUAACCAAUGAGAUGAAGAACCUGUACACUGAAAGCUAAAAAGCAUUGCUGAAAGAACUUAAAAGAGACACAAAUAGACAUACUAUGUUCACGGGCUGAAUGACUUAAUAUUUUUGCAGAAACAGAAAAAUAUCCAUCCUAAAACUCAUAUGAAAUCUCAAGAAUACCAAACCAAGAAGUCAAAACCAUCUUGAAAAAGAACAGAGUUGGAGGUCUCACACCACACUUAUUUCAAAAUUUAUUGUAAAACUACAGUAAUCAACACAAUACGGUAAUGGCAUAAAGAUAAGACAUAUAGACCAAUGGAAUCGAGGAGGGAGCCCAGAAAUAAAACCUCACAUUUAUAGUCAAAUGAAUUUUGACAAGGGUGCCAAGACCAUUCAAUGGGGAAAGGACAGUCUUCAACAAAUGGUGCUGGGAAAACUGGAUAUGCACAUGCAAAAGAAUGAAGUUGGACUCUUUUCUUACUCCAUAUAUAAAAAUUAACUUGGCUGGGCAUGAUGGAAGCUUUUUAAUAGUGCACACUGCCAAUCUGAACAGAAAACCCAGGUUCUUUUCUAAGGAGGAAGGGGUAAU
rnacentral:lncRNA from 10 species